rnacentral:pre_miRNA from 1 species
GGGGGGAGGCCGGAUCCUGGGCUGUGUCCCCGCGCCCUGUAUUCCCGGGCCUGCGCUGUUGGAUUUGCGCUCCCCGCCGCGCAGCCACCU